AACCGGUGGGGGAGGAAGAUCUAUUUCAGGUGGUGGUGGUGGAAAGUCUGAAUCCGAUGGUGGCGAAGGGAAUUCAACCACUGGUUCCUUCCCGGCCAUACCCAGGGCAGGAGCCUUGGUCGGGAUCCCUCCUUGCGGAAGGACGAUCGGCAGGCUCACCCCAGAAAGGUUGAGCUUUCCCGGCUUUGGAGGGGCUGCAGGAGGUGACGACUCCUUGGAAGGAGACCCCGACGGCUCUGCCCACAUCCCCCCAAGAGGGGCACUCGGACACAAGCAGAGCUUCCCGCCCCUGCCUGCGGAAGGGCACUAACUCCGCACAAGGAAGCACGGACCCUUCACCACUUUGGACUCAGCCAACAGCCCUCUUCCCUGCACGGGGAGAAAGGAGACCGGUGACACAAGCACCUGCCUGCAGCUCUAAACCACUCAGCAUCACAAACUAACACCAGCAGGAUGCAAACAUUUCCAGUCCAACCACGUUUAGCCAGCUAUUUAUUUCCUCUGGACUAGUAAAUCCUUUUUUAAAUUUAAGCGACGUGAGCUGAGUUCCCAAUGAGUUUUAAACGUACGUACAAACGGCGGGCUGCCUGCUGAGGCCCUAGUUUCACAAGCGGCAUAAAGCAAGGAGGAACAUAGGCAAAAUGGAAAAAAGGAAAACAUCACUGAAGAAGGGUUCAGGAUUUAGGAAAUGCAGCAAUUAAACAUUAAGAUGCAAGUAACAGAAGUCACAUUUCACUGAAGUUAUCAGGACAGAAUACAGGAAGAAAGAGAUGCUUUAAUAUUUGUAAAAUUUUCUCAAGUCUUUCUCUGAAUGCUGAUACUGCUGACCUGUGAAGGACUAGAAGCAGGUAUGCAGUAUUUAAUUUUGCUAGUUACAGUCUAACCUCAGAUAGAAAUGCAAUCAUCUGUUUUGCAAGGAUUCCCCUCUCCCAGAAUUUUUAUUAAAACAGAGGCUCCUUUUUCCUGAAAUAAUGCUAUAAACACCUCAGUUUCUGCAUAUUCCCCAAAACUUCAAGACAUUUGUAUUAGCCCAAUUUUUAAUUUUUGUCAUUCAGAACAGUUGUCUGGUGCAUGGCAACUGGUUCAAUCUACAGUCAUAAAUCAGAUGCAUGUGUGUCUUUUGUUUCUUUUUCUUUCUUUUUCUUUCUUUCUUUCUUUUUUUUUUUUUUUUUAAGCUAAAAAGAACAUUGGAACAACUGUGUAUGUGAUCAGCACUGGAAAGAAAAAGCUGUAUGAGUGCAGAAGUGGUCCGAGUUGUUUUUUCCUCCACUCUAAAUGCUGACAUUCAUAUCUGCAGCAUUACAUCAUUAAAUCACCAUCAUCUGGCUUCCUGAAUAUAGUUCAGCUCUACACACAUCAAAACAGUGGAACUGAUGACUUCAAAAUCCAGCACUUUGAGCUUCUAUUUCCUUCUCUCAUGUCUUAAACUGGGAAAUAUCCUAGCAAUGAAUAUUGCCUCAAAAUUUAUCAUGUUCUGUACUUCACUGCCAUAAAAGACUAAGACUACAAAAUGUCAAAGCAAAAGCUUGGUUUUUAGUAUUCAUCUUACAACUUAAUUCUAACCCUGUAGGGAAAACAAAUCUUGCAGAUUUGACCUUAAAUUUAUAUUGCAUUAUUCUCAAUAUUCAGUAAUUUAGUUUUACUGUUGUGCUUUCAAUUGUCUUUUCAAAAAGGGUUGCGUGAACAGUAAAACACAGAAUUAUAUUUAAAAAUGGAGACCACCACAAUAAAUAGACUGUUUUCUUUGAUGAGAUCUGCCCUAUGCUUUGGCAGGAACUGUGUGUAUGGCUGUAAUACUAAAGGACUCUGGUCUGUAGCUGGGAUGCAUACAAGAAGCUAUGUUACCAGCAGACAAAGAACUGAUAUUAUCAUUCCUCCAAACUGUCUACAGUCUGAACAUAAGAGGAACACAGACAAAGGAAGGGGAAGAAUACAAGAAACAGUAAGAAAUAAGAAAGUAGCUAGCUGACACACCAGAGACACCAGCAUGAAGCUGCAACACGGAUCAUACAAUUAAGCUGAUUUUGCGCUUACCUACCAUUGCAAAGGAAAGUUCCAUUUCUUUCCCCCAGGUACAUGAACCCUUCUGACUCUCUCAUACUAGGGCUCACCUAAUGCUAUAGCAAGCUGAAAGAAUCUAAGCCAGAAACAAACUGGACUCCACAUUUAUGCUUUUACUAAAGAAAUUUCUCUCCGCUGGAGAUGAGAUGAGAACCAGUAUCCACACCAGGACAGUGUGCUUGGGAGUCAGGAAAGGGCACAGCUGUACUGAUGUAGUCCUAAAUUGAGCUAAUGUCAAACAUCUGCCUCUGGACAUCAGCAAGCUUAUAAUGAGCACCUGACUCAAAGGUAAAGCACUUCAAAGUCUAACAAGUCAAAUUAGUUUUUCUGAUCCUGAAAUCUGUGUUCUUGAACAUUAAGCCACGAACAGGUCCUCUACUGGGAUUUUUAAAAUGCUAAUUUGGAAUGAAAACAAGGUUGAGUCGAUGCCUGCCCCCCUAAAUAAAGAUAUUCUCUAACUUUAACACUCAGUAGAGUUUCAAGACAAAGUAUAAAUUCAAAAAUGUAACUACAGGAAUCUAUUAGAACCACUGAUUUGAAGAUCUUAAGUAGUUUACGAUCAUCUGAUUCAAUGGACUUAACAUUUCAUGUAUUUUUAUUGAAGUUUCUAUGGUAAUAAACACUCAUCCAGUAUAUAAAUAAUGAGAUUACUCAGUACAUAAAUAACCAGAAGGAAGGAUAUGAAGACACACAGAGAUGAAAAGUCAUGGUUUAUGUUUACAUACAACAGUUGUUAAUCCAUGUGCAUCCAAGUAAGGUUUGCUGGUUUGGUGCCUAUUUGCUUUGUUAUGUUUCUUU